rnacentral:rRNA from 1 species
CGGGGGGCGGGCUUACACAUGCAGUCGAGCGGAUGAAGGUAGCUUGCUACUGGAUUCAGCGGCGGACGGGUGAGUAAUGCUUAGGAAUCUGCCUAUUAGUGGGGGACAACGUUCCGAAAGGAGCGCUAAUACCGCAUACGUCCUACGGGAGAAAGCAGGGGACCUUUGGGCCUUGCGCUAAUAGAUGAGCCUAAGUCGGAUUAGCUAGUUGGUAGGGUAAAGGCCUACCAAGGCGACGAUCUGUAGCGGGUCUGAGAGGAUGAUCCGCCACACUGGGACUGAGACACGGCCCAGACUCCUACGGGAGGCAGCAGUGGGGAAUAUUGGACAAUGGGGGGAACCCUGAUCCAGCCAUGCCGCGUGUGUGAAGAAGGCCUUUUGGUUGUAAAGCACUUUAAGCGAGGAGGAGGCUACCUAGAUUAAUACUUUAGGAUAGUGGACGUUACUCGCAGAAUAAGCACCGGCUAACUCUGUGCCAGCAGCCGCGGUAAUACAGAGGGUGCGAGCGUUAAUCGGAUUUACUGGGCGUAAAGCGUGCGUAGGCGGCCAAUUAAGUCAAAUGUGAAAUCCCCGAGCUUAACUUGGGAAUUGCAUUCGAUACUGGUUGGCUAGAGUAUGGGAGAGGAUGGUAGAAUUCCAGGUGUAGCGGUGAAAUGCGUAGAGAUCUGGAGGAAUACCGAUGGCGAAGGCAGCCAUCUGGCCUAAUACUGACGCUGAGGUACGAAAGCAUGGGGAGCAAACAGGAUUAGAUACCCUGGUAGUCCAUGCCGUAAACGAUGUCUACUAGCCGUUGGGGCCCUUGAGGCUUUAGUGGCGCAGCUAACGCGAUAAGUAGACCGCCUGGGGAGUACGGUCGCAAGACUAAAACUCAAAUGAAUUGACGGGGGCCCGCACAAGCGGUGGAGCAUGGUGGUUUAAUUCGAUGCACGCGAGAACCUUACCUGGCCUUGACAUACAGAGACUUUCAGAGAUGGAUUGUGCUUCGGGACUCUGAUACAGUGCUGCAUGCUGUCGUCAGCUCGUGUCGUGAGAUGUGGGUAGUCCGCACGAGCGCACCUUUCUAUUGGCAGCACUCGGUGGGACUUUAGAUCCUGCAAUGGACACUGAGAGCGGGACACGUCAGUCAUCAUGCUACGCAAGCUCACACUGCUCAUGUCGUUCGAAGUUCAACCGAUGUAGUCUAUCCACGCAUCUGAUCCGGAUGGAUCUGCACCUGGACU